rnacentral:lncRNA from 13 species
UUAAGUUUUCCAUGUCUUGAAAUAUUGUUUAUCACUCCUGUCCUGUUUUUCUCUUUCUCAGAGGCCACAACUUCUGUAGGAGAAAGAGAAACAACAAAAGUUGAAAUAAUCAAAGGUUUUACUGAGGGCAUCUCUGGGAAAACUCUGGAAGCUGGGAGUGCCCACACAGAGGCCACAGCUUUUCCAAGAGGCAGCGGGACCACCCUAGCAGGACCACCUGGAGGUGAGCUUUUCAGGUGGAGGCUUGGGGCUCUCGUUAUCUCUCGAUCUUGGUGGCUGCAGUGAACAAAUAAUAUGAAAGAACUUGAGGAGGAGUCAGCAUUCUCUGAGGCCAUAUUAUGUCAUUAACUGUCUGGGAAGUUAUUCUGUUUAUCAAUUCCAUGACCUCAG